rnacentral:lncRNA from 1 species
AUGACAUGGAAAGCAGAGAGCAGACUAGGAGAGAGAAGAGCUGCAGUGACUGAGCUGAAUGACCGAAGCACCCUGUCAGCAGGCAUGGCAAGCCUUGUCUCAAAGGCUCUUGGAUUCUCUGUCCCAAACUGCAUGGCGUAUAAUACACUCCAGUUACACAGAUGGUUCCAGAGGCAGUCAGCUCCUGCAAGAGGGAGGAUUGCUUAUAAGCAGGUCACAGACAGAGCUGUAUGUGGAAGGUCACCAUCCUCUGUAGUAGCGGUCCCGUCUGAAGAUGGCUGCAGUGAGAACUGGAUUUCAAAUGGAAGUGUUCAGCUUAGCUCUGUUCUUGGCAGUGUUUCUUUUCCCUCAUCUGUUAAUGACUGCUGCAAAUCCUCCAGUCCAAGGGGGUGUCUUUUGUGUACUAAAUGCUGCCAUUAUUUAUCAAGCACUCUUGUUGAAUGUGCUUAAAGUCAGUCCUGCAGGACAGUUUCAAUCAAAUUCCAUUCAAUUUAUUCUAUCUGAAUAACUCUGAAAUGUAAAUAAAAUUAAAUUAAUGGUGCUGUAUUUGUAUCCU